AUCAAGUGGGCAGGGACCAAUAGUGGAUUGUGCACUGUUGUUUUUAUCUUCAAUUUGACGUGUUGUAUCAUUUUCAUUAAUUGAGGUGUCAGCACCAGUGCUCAUGGCCCUUGCAAUAAUGUGGCAAAGUGCAAUCCAUUGGCCAUGCCAAUAUGUAAGUUCAGGCAUGGACCUUUGCCAUGCUUGGUAUGAAGCAUUGUGUACAAUACCUGAUGUGUCAUUCUAAUGGCCAAUUGGCAUGCAGGGAAUCAAAACUUUAAUUUCUUAGUUCCAGCAUAAUCAUGGUGUUUCACAUGAUGAAGUUUUCUUAUUUUCAUGCUUCACAACAAUAUUAGACUUAAUUAUCACCAUGUUGCUACUAUAUCAUUGCUGCCUUUGUGAAUUUUUGCAACUUGAUCUCAGGACUUAAUAAUGCAAUGAACUAGUUAGUGUCUAAGUUUGCAGCUUCUAUAAUGUUCUCAACUUUAAUUUUUAGUUUUGUUAUAUUUAUUUGAUAUUAUAUUCAUUGGAUAUGUGGUUGCUAUAUUUCCAAGUUCUUAAUAGAUUACCACGUGACCUGUUUAAUACUUCCUUUUAGUGCCUAUUACUCCUCAAAUUUCUUUUAGUAUGUUUUUUGUGUUUAUACAUGUAGACUUUUGCUUGUGCAUUACCUUCUAGGCAUGAUUCAAUUUCGUAAAUCUUGACCUUCAAAGGUUGGCCAAUGAGCAAGGCUCCUGCUAAUGUGACCGAGAAAGAUAAACAAAUGCAGUCUUACCUCUGCAAGCAGAGAAGUAUGGAACGAGUGUAUUUACCUCUCAAACAGUCCAAUGGAGUGCAGACCUUGUUAACGUACAUGGUACACCCAGUACAGGGCUUGUACCAGUCAGUAACAUUUUAUUCCAAUUUUUCAGUCUUCUUUCAGGCUUUUUCCAAAACUCAGUGCAAAUUUGCACACCAACACAUGGUAUGCCGGUGCGGUUUAGACUCGUACAGGUCCAGGCCUGGAUUGGUAUGGGUGCAGUACCAGAGAUUGUGUUCCUUGAUGGUAACAAAUUUGUACUGAUAAUUAUUGGGAUUUUUUUUGUAUGUUUUUGUUGCAGUUUCAUGUUUUUUUUUAAUACCCUGAUUACAUGUAAUUGUUUCAAAGAGGAAACAACCCUAGGUUAACAUGAACUAGCUAUGGUUCUGCUAAAUCUUAACUAGUUUAUAUUGGUCUCUAGGGUCUAAUCAAAUUGCAGACUAUUAGAAGUGGAACAACACUUUGGGGCUGGAUUGAAAAUGGCGGGAGUGGCACCUUUGGCACCAUAACCCUACGCUGCAGGCGGAAGAUGUAUCUUUUGACGGUCUCCAUAAUCUGUGGUUAGCAGUUUCUAUGUCUUCAUUUGACCACAGCUUGCAAUGCCAAUAAUCGAAAUGGUACAUUUUUGCCUUUGCAUUUGGACCUCACUUUUAGUAUUAUAAGAUUUUUAUCUAUGAUUUCUUUUAGGCAACUGAAUCAACUACUAAAGCAUCCUAGUUAGGCUUGGAUUUAGUAUGACAGCACAAGGCAUCUCACAGUGGAAUUUAGAUACACAUCAUCAAGCUAACUGAUUGGGUGGUUUAUAAGGUAAAUUUGAAGUUUUUUCACUACAUUUUUCUAUUAGGAUAGGAAUGACAACAAAUCGACCUUAUUAUUAUAGUACUCGUGCAUGUUUAACCCACCUAAUUUGGAUCAGAGGAUCCACCAAUUGUGUGAAAGAUGGAUAUAGAUAAAAUAAUAGAUAUUCUAGUCGAGGUUUGAGAUUGAGUAGGGUGAAAAAUUCAUUGAUACCCCCUCAUGGUUUGCCACUAUGGAAGUAAGACAUCUUUUUUGGGUAUUGCGAUUUAAUUAUCCUUUUAACCACCGCGAGGAAGGUUGCGACUUCGUCAAUCCGACAGCGGCGGAGGAAAAGCAGGGGUGAUGAUGGGCGAUGCUGCUUGCCGAUUGCUGGAGAACUGCUGGUCCGUUGAGGGAGAACAGAGAAGGGAAGAUCGCUGAACAGAUGACAGACCCGCCCCCGUUCCCCCUGCUCACCCUCGCUUCUAUCUUCUCCUUCCUCCGUCAACGACAGCAACGUCCUCAACGCCGACGAGCAGAUCUCCUACGGAGCCGUCACCUUCUCAUGCACCGUGACUGCAACCUCUCCCACUAAGAGUAAAAAUGGAGAAGUUGAUAUUAUCAUUUUACUCGUUUGUUUGCCCAAUCUAACAAGCAAC